UCGAGGAUCUUCGGCAAUGGGCGCAAGCCUGACCGAGCGACGCCGCGUGUGCGACGAAGGCCUUCGGGUUGUAAAGCACUGUCGAGGGGAAGAAAAGCCGCAAGGCCUGAUCGACCCCUGGAGGAAGCACGGGCUAAGUUCGUGCCAGCAGCCGCGGUAAGACGAACCGUGCGAACGUUGUUCGGAUUCACUGGGCUUAAAGGGCGCGUAGGCGGCUUCGCAAGUCCGGGGUGAAAGCCCCCAGCCCAACUGGGGAAGUGCCUCGGAGACUGCGGAGCUCGAGCGGGAUAGGGGCAGCUGGAACUUUCGGUGGAGCGGUGAAAUGCGUAGAUAUCGGAAGGAACGCCGGUGGCGAAAGCGAGCUGCUGGAUCCCUCCUGACGCUGAGGCGCGAAAGCCAGGGGAGCGAACGGGAUUAGAUACCCCGGUAGUCC
rnacentral:rRNA from 1 species